rnacentral:pre_miRNA from 1 species
UUUACAGUAUAAGAAUGUCCCUUGCAAUAUUCAGGACACUCUUAUACUAAAA